rnacentral:rRNA from 1 species
CCUACGGGGGGCUGCAGUCGAGAAUCUUCGGCAAUGGGCGCAAGCCUGACCGAGCGACGCCGCGUGCGGGAUGAAGGUCUUCGGAUUGUAAACCGCUGUCGGAGGGGAUGAAGUGUAUGGGAGCAAUCUCCUGUAUUUGACAGAGCCUCGGAGGAAGCACGGGCUAAGUUCGUGCCAGCAGCCGCGGUAAUACGAACUGUGCAAACGUUAUUCGGAAUCACUGGGCUUAAAGGGUGCGUAGGCGGUUACCCAAGUCAGGUGUGAAAUCCCCCGGCUCAACCGGGGAAUAGCGCUUGAAACUAGGUGACUUGAGUGAGGUAAGGGUACGCGGAACUUCUGGUGGAGCGGUGAAAUGUGUAGAUAUCAGAAGGAACGCCGGUGGCGAAAGCGGCGUACUGGGCCUUGUCUGACGCUGAGGCACGAAAGCUAGGGAAGCGAACGGGAUUAGAUACCCCAGUAGUC